GAACGAACGCUGGCGGCGUGCUUAACACAUGCAAGUCGAACGAUGAAGCCCUUCGGGGUGGAUUAGUGGCGAACGGGUGAGUAACACGUGGGCAAUCUGCCCUUCACUCUGGGACAAGCCCUGGAAACGGGGUCUAAUACCGGAUAACACCUGCCCGGGCAUCUGGGUGGGUUAAAAGCUCCGGCGGUGAAGGAUGAGCCCGCGGCCUAUCAGCUUGUUGGUGAGGUAGUGGCUCACCAAGGCGACGACGGGUAGCCGGCCUGAGAGGGCGACCGGCCACACUGGGACUGAGACACGGCCCAGACUCCUACGGGAGGCAGCAGUGGGGAAUAUUGCACAAUGGGCGAAAGCCUGAUGCAGCGACGCCGCGUGAGGGAUGACGGCCUUCGGGUUGUAAACCUCUUUCAGCAGGGAAGAAGCGAAAGUGACGGUACCUGCAGAAGAAGCGCCGGCUAACUACGUGCCAGCAGCCGCGGUAAUACGUAGGGCGCAAGCGUUGUCCGGAAUUAUUGGGCGUAAAGAGCUCGUAGGCGGCUUGUCACGUCGGGUGUGAAAGCCCGGGGCUUAACCCCGGGUCUGCAUUCGAUACGGGCUAGCUAGAGUGUGGUAGGGGAGAUCGGAAUUCCUGGUGUAGCGGUGAAAUGCGCAGAUAUCAGGAGGAACACCGGUGGCGAAGGCGGAUCUCUGGGCCCAUUACUGACGCUGAGGANCGAAAGCGUGGGGAGCGAACAGGAUUAGAUACCCUGGUAGUCCACGCCGUAAACGGUGGGAACUAGGUGUUGGCGACUUUCACGUCGUCGGUGCCCCANUUACGCAUNAAUUCCCCCCUGGGGAAUCGGCCNNAGGCUAANUCAANNANUGACGGGGNCCNNCAACNCCGANAUUUGGUUAUUCACCACCNANACNUNCAGGUUGNNNNCCGAACGNCNAAUGNCCCCUUNGNCGGNNGGGGGNUGGUCCCACUUUCGGANUGGUAACCCAANCCCCUNUUUUNCNUCCUNGGUGGACAGAUCGGNNUGGNGGGAAAAUUCNUUUGUCCNAGGNANUNACGGGANAAUUNNNGNCCCNAGGUUANAUNGAC
rnacentral:rRNA from 1 species